rnacentral:rRNA from 1 species
GUGAGGAAUCUUGCGCAAUGGGGGAAACCCUGACGCAGCGACACCGCGUGCGGGAAGAAGGCCCUCGGGUCGUAAACCGCUUUUCUGUGGGACGAGGAAGGACGGUACCACAGGAAUAAGUCCCGGCUAACUACGUGCCAGCAGCCGCGGUAAAACGUAGGGGGCGAGCGUUAUCCGGAAUUACUGGGCGUAAAGGGCGUCUAGGCGGCGAGGUAAGUCUCAUGUGAAAGCUCCCGGCUCAACUGGGAGAGGGCGUGGGAGACUGCCUGGCUAGAGUGUCGGAGGGGGGUGUGGAAUUCCCGGUGGAGUGGUGGAAUGCGUUGAGAUCGGGAGGAACACCAGAAGCGAAGGCGGCACCCUGGCCGACUACUGACGCUGAAGCGCGAAAGCGUGGGGAGCGAACGGGAUUAGAAACCCCAGUAGUCC